rnacentral:rRNA from 1 species
AAACCAGCAUCUCAAGUGGUCAGGAUGAUUAUUGGGCCUAAAGCAUCCGUAGCCGGCUCUGUAAGUUUUCGGUUAAAUCUGUACGCUUAACGUACAGGCUGCCGGGAAUACUGCAGAGCUAGGGAGUGGGAGAGGUAGACGGUACUCGGGAGGAAGUGGUAAAAUGCUUUGAUCUCUCGAUGACCACCUGUGGCGAAGGCGGUCUACCAGAACACGUCCGACGGUGAGGGAUGAAAGCUGGGGGAGCAAACCGGAUUAGAAACCCGAGUAGUCC